rnacentral:SRP_RNA from 1 species
CCGUGCUAGACGGGGAGGUAGCGGUGCCCUGAACCCGCAAUCCGCUAUAGCGGGGUUGAAUUCCCUCCCUGAGGUCCUGCUUCUGUGAGCCAACCUCCGGGCACGUGGUGUUGAAGGUCGGACCCUGCGCAACGAAGACUCGUGAAUCCCGUCAGGACCGGGAGGGAGCAGCGGUAAGCGGACAUCUUCGUGUGCCGCGGGUGCUUCUGGCUGGAGCCGGCGAUCCGGGUGGCGCUUGGGGAACAGGAUCGAAGGUUGGGUGCACGG